rnacentral:rRNA from 1 species
UACAGAGGGUGCAAGCGUUAAUCGGAAUUACUGGGCGUAAAGCGUGCGUAGACGGUAGCGUAAGUCGGGUGUGAAGGCCCCGGGCUCAACCUGGGAAUGGCAUUCGAGACUGCUCUGCUAGGGUGCGGAAGAGGGGAGCGGAAUUUCCGGUGUAGCGGUGAAAUGCGUAGAUAUCGGAAGGAACACCAGUGGCGAAAGCGGCUCCCUGGUCCAGCACCGACGUUCAGGCACGAAAGCGUGGGGAGCAAACAGG